rnacentral:tRNA from 1 species
GUCAAGUGGCCGAGUUGGUCUAAGGCACCAGUUUCAGGUACUAGUCCAAAAGGGUAUGGGUUCGAAUUCCAUUCUUGACA